rnacentral:rRNA from 1 species
AUUGAACGCUGGCGGCAGGCCUAACACAUGCAAGUCGAACGAGUGGCGCACGGGUGAGUAAUGUCUGGGAAACUGCCUGAUGGAGGGGGAUAUCUACUGGACACGGUAGAUAAUACCGCAUAAUAUCGGAUGUGCACAGAUGGGAUUAGCUAGUAGGUGGGGUAACGGCUCACCUAGGCGACGACCCCUAGCUGGUCUGAGAGGAUGACCAGCCACACUGGGACUGAGACACGGCCCAGACUCCUACGGGAGGCAGCAGUGGGGAAUAUUGCACAAUGGGCGCAAGCCUGAUGCAGCCAUGCCGCGUGUAUGAAGAAGGCCUUCGGGUUGUAAAGUACUUUCAGCGGGGAGGCGUUACCCGCAGAAGAAGCACCGGCUAACUCCGUGCCAGCAGCCGCGGUAAUUC